AGAGAGAGAGAGAGAGAGAGAGAGAGAGAGAGAGAGAGAGAGAUUCACUUCUCUCUUGGGCUACAUCAUCACGAGAGGCCCAAAAAUGAGCCACAUGUACGAAUUGGUAUAGAAGGAGACCGGUGAGCAUGUUGAGGAUCUCAACAAGAUUCCCAUCUUCGAUGAGGACCCCUAUGAAUUCGUAAAUUUCAAUGCAGAUCCCACUGAAGUGACUGAAGAGAGUCUCCUAAUGACCUCACCAUUGAAGAAUUGAAUGCUGCGGUCAUUGGUUAGCCAAUGGUUAGAUCGCCUGAUGCUCAUUUUGUUUCUUGUAUGAUCAUGAUUACUACAGUCAUGAAGGAAAGAUCGAAGGUUGGAUUUGUGCAAUCUGACAGGGAUCACUUGCUGCACCUUGCAAUAACAAUUCAACUAUGUGAUCCAUGUUGAGAAUGUGUUGAAAAUUAAGUGACAAUCCUUUGCCUUCAAUGCCCCUCAAACAAGAAGGGUUAUAUCAUCAACCUCCAUUGAGUUUGAAGGGAGCAUGCUAUGAAGGUGCUCCACGUAAUUCAAACUCGAGUCCAAGUUUUAUCUCACCCGGGGAGAAUGAUGAGGGCAUCAUGGCCAUCUAUGACAAGUUGGGCCGCUCUGAUCAAAGAAGGGGCCCCCAACACAGCUGAUCAAUAGCUGAGAUUGAUCCGACAAACCCAAUCACCUUCCUCCACUAGACCAUUGGGCGUGGACAACUAAAACAUCCAAUGCACAAACCCCCGUUGCAUGGUAUUCAAAAUUGGUUACAUAACGGCCAUUACGUAACGGUAACGUUUAUAACCGUUACGCGUUACGUGGUCGAAAUGGCCAUUACAGAAAAAUGGGCCAUGACGGUCCUGUAAUGGUCCCAUAACGGCCCCGUAACGGUCCCGUAACGGUCCAGUAACAACAAUUUUCACAAAAAUAAAAAAUGGCCGUAACGGCCGAUACGGGGCUGUAACAGCCGUUAUGGCCUGUAUCAUAACGGCAAUGGUGGUGGCCGUUACGGCCACUGUUACUGUUUUGGAACACCUUGCCCCAUUGUCUAGUUGCUCAUAGCCAAGGUAUCUCAUUGCAGUAAUGGUGGAUAUGGGCUGUAACAGCCGUUACAGUUUUUUCUUUUUUCCUUUUCUUUUAGAUCGCCUAAUACUCAUACCGUUUCAUGUAUGAUCGUGAUUGCUAUGGUCAUGAUGGAAAGAUCGAAGGUUGGAUUUGUGUAAUCUGACAAGGAUAACUUGCUGCAAUAACAAUUCAAUUAUGUUAUCCAUGUUGAGAACAAGUUGAAAAUUAAGGGACAAUCCUUUGCUUUCAAAGCCCAUCAAACAAGAAGGGUUACAUCAUCAACCUCCAUUGAGGUCGAAGGAAGCAUGCUAUGAAGGUGCUUCUUGUAAUUCAAACUUGAGGCCGAGUUUUCUCUCACCUGGGGAGAAUAAUUGGGGCAUCAUUGUCAUCCACAAGUUGGGACUGCUCUAAUCAAAGAAGGGCCCCCCAACACAGCCGAUCAAUUGCUGUGACUGAUCCAACAAACUGAAUCACCUUCCACCACAAGAUCAUUAGGCGUGGACAACUAAAAAUCCAAUUACAAACCCAUGUUGUCCUAUUGCUCUGGGCCAAGGUAUUCCAUAAGGUAAAGGUGGUGGUAACAGCCACUGCCAUUACCAUUAUGAUACGGGACGUAACGGCCGUUAUGGAUUUUUCUUUUUCUUUUUCUUUAAAAGGAAAAACCUAUUUUGGCCCUUUAGCAGACUGUUAUGGACCAUUAUUGGGCCGUUACAAGACAUUGCAGGUUGAUACAGGUCAAUUUUUCCAUAAUAACUGUUACGGCCAUUACAACCUUGUAACGUGUAAUGGUUAACCAUUUUGGAAUACCAUUCUCUAGGCCGAGCACGGCUCAAGAAACUUGGGAUGUGGCAAAUGUUUCUCCCUGUUUCGAGAUCCAAACUCAUGCUCCGGUAGAUGGACCAAUGGAAUCAGAAUGCGGAAACACUAUUGUGGCGUCAACCAACCCACGAGGUACUACGACGUGGAAAUAGUUUUUCCACAUCCACGAAAGCAUUGCCCACUGUGUACACCACCUGAAAUUCCCUCUCCUCAUAUUGGAACCAACUUGUGGACGGCCUCUCAUUGACUCUCUUUCCUCCACACAUUUUUAUCUUCGAUUUUUACUAGUUACUAUCUUCUUUCUCAUUGGUCCGUAGAAUGGAUAAGGAUUUUGAUUGGGGGAAGAUGUAGAACCUCUUGUUUUCAGAUGAGUAGAGAAGGACACAUGGGAGAAACAGAAUUUACUUGAUUGCUAAUAAAUAGGCUACCAUGUGAUUGUUUUUAUUUUAUUUUUUAAUAAUAAAAAAUCUGAGUUUUUCUUAUAUUAGCUUGUGUGAGUGUGAGAGAGGGCUGAUGCCCCUUGAUCUUCCUGUGGGUCCCACUGUUUGGGCCUUCUCCAUGUUCCUUGUGUGUCUCUGCUUGGUGCCCUUUGCUAGCAAUUGUUCUCUGCUGCGUGUGUUGCCGAUUCCCAUCAACCGGGCCGGCAUCAAGGCAGGCCACACAUCUACCUGUUGGCAUUGUUUUUCAACUGCCUAUUCCUUUUUAUAGAGGUGGACCACCUGAUGGGUAGACUACUUGAUUUUUUGCACAAAAAUCAUCUUAACGGUGGGACCACCUUCAAUACUGCUUUAGUCCCACAGUAGGGCCUGCUUGACAUGUCAUGUGUGAAGAUUGCGUGUGGGACUACCAAACCUCUAGUUUUAUGAGCCAUCAGUUAACUGGUAUUUUCUAAUUAACUCCCUGAAAAAAAGGAAGAAUGAAGAUUUACAUUCAAGCUUCAAGAAUACUACAAAUCAUGGAACUAGAAGCCAGUAAACCUGGUUUUUUGAAUUUUGCUUGGGGGUUACGACAUGAAGCUAAUGCCAAAGUGGCUGAUUCUUGUUGGCGUAAUAAUUUGACUGUGCAGGUGAGUGUGCAUGUUAGAGACAAGGCGGGCCAUCAGGUUUUUUGAGUAUGGAGAACCUCCCUACAAUUUUUGGUGUAGGAUGAUCAGGUUGAGUAUGGAGGACCUCCUUCAGAGAAUAAGUAGCGGCCGUCCAUUAGCCCCUCCAAAUGGAGCUGUGUCAAUGGGAAAUUGAAAACAGGGAAGGGACUAAAGCAAUUGAGAAUGGCAAGGAAUUUUACAUGUUAUAUAUAUAAUCUUAUUCUUUCAUUUUGAAUUUUUUGUAUGACAAUGUUAUGAAAUCUUAAUUUCUUGCAGCAGGGAAAUAUGUUGCAAGGGUGUUUUCAA